AGAGUGCGUAAUAGCUCACUGGUCAAGUGAUUCCGCGCCGAUAAUGUAGCGGGGCUUAAGUUAUCCGCCGAAGCUGUGGCAACCUGUGUGGUUGGGUAGGGGAGCGUCGUGUCAGUGGUGAAGCUGCCGGGUGACUGUGUGGUGGAGUUGAUGCGAGUGAGAAUGCAGGCAUGAGUAGCGUGUGACGGGUGGGAAUCCCGUCCGCCGAUUAUCCAAGGGUUCCAGGGUCAAGUUUGUCUGCCCUGGGUGAGUCGGGUCCUAAGGCGAGGCCGACAGGCGUAGUCGAUGGGUAACCAGUUGAUAUUCUGGUACCGGCUUGUCACCGUCCGUGUCGAGGUGUGUGAUGCUAAGCAUGUGAGCUUGUCUUGGGAGUGUUUUUGAUGCUUCUGGGGUGGGUGAGUGUGUGAACCGAUCAUGUAGUAGGCAAGCUGCGGAGGGACGCAGUGAGGUAGCUCAUCCCCGGUGAUGGUUGUCCGGGGCUAAGUGUGUGGACUGUCUGGUAGGUAAAUCCGCUGGGCGUGAAGGUUGAGGCAUGAUGGGGAGCCCACGGUUGUGGGUGAGUGAGUGAUCCUGUACUGUCGAGAAAAGCUUCGUGAGCGAGGUGGCGGGUCCGCCCGUACCCUAAACCGACACUGGUGGAUAGGUAGAGUAUACCGAGGCGAUCGAGUGAAUCGUGGUGAAGGAACUCGGCAAAAUGCCCCCGUAACUUUGGGAUAAGGGGGACCUGAGCUGUCGUGCACCCGUGCGGUGUGGUGGCGGUGAGGGGCGCAGAGUCCAGGGGGAAACGACUGUUUACCAAAAACACAGG
rnacentral:rRNA from 1 species